AGCGGUGGAGUAUGUGGCUUAAUUCGAUGCAACGCGAAGAACCUUACCUGGCCUUGACAUGCACAUAGUAGAAGCCUGAAAGGGUGACGAGGUAGCAAUACCAGUGUGCACAGGUGCUGCAUGGCUGUCGUCAGCUCGUGUCGUGAGAUGUUGGGUUAAGUCCCGCAACGAGCGCAACCCUUAUGAUUUGUUGCCACCGGUUCAUUCCGAGCACUCAAAUCAGACUGCCCAGAUUAACUGGGAGGAAGGUGGGGAUGACGUCAAGUCCGUAUGG
rnacentral:rRNA from 1 species